GACGUAGGGCGCAAGCGUUGUCCGGAUUUAUUGGGCGUAAAGAGCUCGUAGGCGGCUUGUCGCGUCGACUGUGAAAACCCGCAGCUUAACUGCGGGACUGCAGUCGAUACGGGCAGGCUAGAGUUCGGUAGGGGAGACUGGAAUUCCUGGUGUAGCGGUGAAAUGCGCAGAUAUCAGGAGGAACACCGAUGGCGAAGGCAGGUCUCUGGGCAUUAACUGACGCUGAGGAGCGAAAGCAUGGGGAGCGAACAGG
rnacentral:rRNA from 1 species